GACGAACGCUGGCGGCGUGCUUAACACAUGCAAGUCGAACGGAAAGGCCCUGCUUUUGUGGGGUUCUCGAGUGGCGAACGGGUGAGUAACACGUGAGUAACCUGCCCUUGACUUUGGGAUAACUUCAGGAAACUGGGGCUAAUACCGGAUAGGAGCUCCUGCUGCAUGGUGGGGGUUGGAAAGUUUCGGCGGUUGGGGAUGGACUCGCGGCUUAUCAGCUUGUUGGUGGGGUAGUGGCUUACCAAGGCUUUGACGGGUAGCCGGCCUGAGAGGGUGACCGGCCACAUUGGGACUGAGAUACGGCCCAGACUGCUACGGGAGGCAGCAGUGGGGAAUAUUGCACAAUGGGCGGAAGCCUGAUGCAGCAACGCCGCGUGCGGGAUGACGGCCUUCGGGUUGUAAACCGCUUUAGCCUGUGACGAAGCGUGAGUGACGGUAAUGGGUAAAGAAGCACCGGCUAACUACGUG
rnacentral:rRNA from 1 species